AUCCCUUCAUUCAUAAAUUCAUCCAAAAAUUCUAACACACGUAUCUCCAACCCAAACCCCUUUUGUUCAACCAUACCAGAUUCAUCAACGCCCAGAUUCGUUCAUCAUCACCAUCACUGCGUUUUGUUUUCCCUAACUGAAACAACAACAAUGGUGAUUCGAUUAAAAAGCUAUGUUCUUUGAAAAUGUUACAUUUUUGAACUCAUUUGUUUGAUAUUUUGAUUGAAAAACAUUGAUUCAUAUAUUGGUGUAAUCGUUUUGUCCCAGAAAGCAUGGAUUUGUCAUUCCUCCAUCCACUGCAGGUUAAUGUUUCGAGAUAAAAUGAAGAGAAGAAGUCGCUCUGAAAACGAAGAAAGUGAAGAUAGACUAAGUGACUUACCCGACUGCAUUCUUAUUUACAUUUUGUCAUUUUUGAAAACCGAAAACGCCGUUCAAACUUGCAUUUUGUCCACCAGAUGGAAACAUCUCUGGAAACGUAUUCCUAAACUUUUGUUGCGUUCCUCAACUUUAUUCUGUUUGGAGGACGAGAAAUUUUUGACAUUCGUGUCUAAGAUUUUGACUCUUCGUGAUAACUCAGCUGCACUGCAUAUUCUUGAUUUUGAGUGUGAUACUGAUCACGAGUCUGAACUGGUCCCAAAAAUUUUAAAUUACGUUCGUUCCCAUAAUACCCAAAUCCAACAAUUAGGAAUCUCUAUUACUCGUGAUAGUGAUCUCCUUAUGCCAUGUGUGUCUUCAUGUCUGGCUCUUACAUCUCUGAUGCUUUCGGUUUACCACAUCCGUCAUGUUGUUUAUCCUGAGACAAUAAUAUUUCCGAAAUCUCUGAAUUUGCCAGCGUUAACUAGCUUGGGUCUAGUUGGUUUUACCUUCUGCGGUGAUGAAAAUGGUUGUGCUGAGCCCUUUUCUGCCUUUACCAAGUUGAAUAACUUGCUCAUUAAGGAUUGUAUUAUUAAGGAUGCACAAAUCCUCAGGAUAUCAAGUAAGACACUAGACAGUUUAUCUAUGAGUUAUAAUUUAUUCGACUUCAACAAAAUCGAGCUAGCUGCUCCGAAUCUUUGUACCUUUACUUUUUGUGGUACUCUUGAUCAGAAAAUAUAUGCGAGUGGAUUUUCUUCUGUUAAAGAAGUAAACAAUGGUACUCCUGAUCAGAAAAUAUAUGGGAGUGGAUUUUCUUCUGUUAAAGAAGUAAACAUUGAUGCAAAAAUGUUUUCAGAAUUCGACAAGUCUCCUAUGAUUCUAUUAUGCUGGCUGCUAGACCUUGCUAACUUAGAAUCAUUAACAGUCACUUCAAAAACUCUUCAGAUUCUCUCCUUAGUUCCCAAUUUAUUGGAGGUUAAGCUUCCUUCUUUGAGUAACUUGAAGUCGAUGGAAAUAAAAUUGGAGCCACUUGAAGAUCACACAAAAUUAUUGUACUUAGUGAAAGAAGCCAUGUUAAAGAAAGCUGCUGCCAAGUCACGCAAAGAAGCUUCCAAGCUACGAAAAGCAUUUAAAGCGGGUUUGCGACCACCUUCCGUACCUGAUGGAAUAGUGGACUUCUUGCUUCAAAACUCACCGUCUGCCAAAGUUAACAUCACAUCAGAUUAUUAGCGCUCGAUGAAGAGUUUAUCUAACGUAAUGGCCAUUUUUCUUUGCUGCAUGAAAUGGGUGAAUUGAUGACUAGACAUCUGCUGUUUAUGGUUGAAAUGUUUGAUAGCUGUGACUACUCAGCCAUUGACCGAGAUAAGAAAUGUUUGUCUAAGUUUGUUUAGUUAGUCAGGUUCAAGCAUCCAUCAAGCAGGAGCAACUUCUUUGUCUAAUGUUUUCAGUCUGAAUAGCAACUUGUUUGGGAUACCAUCCAUUGAGUAAACUUAGGCACAACUACUGAUACUGAAGUAAUUACAUGAUCACAUUUUUUUUGGAUGCUCAGAGGUAUGAAACAAUUUAAAGCACUACUAGUCUUCCCUUCACAAAUCAAAAAGGACCGAAAAUAUUUACAAGUGACAACAGUUAUGAGAAGUUUUCACCUAUUGAAUGAGGUUAAAUAUUUUAUCAGUCUUGCUUUUUUUUUUUUUUUGAACAAGCAUGGCUUUGGUUUCUUUAUAAUAAAUAUGGAGAACUAAUUUUAUUCCUUGUUUGUGUUAUCCCUUCAAGCUUCAAGUGGAUAUUAAAGAACAAAUGAUUAACGCAAGGAAAACAAUGACAUUCAACAGCUUUUAUUUAUUUUUUCUCUAAUUUUCCUUCAUUUAUAAAUUUAAAAGUAAAAUCAAUGAACACAUUUUUUUCUCCUUUUGAAUAACAAUUGUUAGUAAUAACUAAUAAGUUUGUUAGAUUUAUUUUACCCAUUCGUUCAAGUUUAAACCCAAUAUCUAUAAUCUCUCUUUGCUUAACUCAAACCAGUUGAACUAUCUAACCCCAAAUAAUUAAUAAAUUAAAAUUGAAAUGAGUCGGACCGACCCAUCACUUGGGUUGGGUCGGGUACAUGAAUGUGUAUACUAUAUUUUUUUGAAGGAAUUAAUGUGUAUACUACUACUCCCCCUGUCUCAAAUCGUAUGACGUUUUAAAUAUUUACCACAUAUUAAGAAAUAUAAUUAAUUUUGUGUGGGAAAGAAAUAUUAUAAGUUGUUUUACAAAAUUAUCCUUAAUAAAUGGUACGAGAAAGAUAAAUUAAAGAAUUGAAAAAAAAAAGUAAUAAAUAGUUAAGAAUAUAAUAGAAAAAGUAAUAUUAAUGUUUCGUAUUGUAAAGCGAUAUAUAAUUUGAGAUGAUUUUUUUUUCUUCGUAUAAUUUGGGACGAAGGGAGUAUUGUGUUUGUGUAGUCUAAUUUUAAAUCAAUCAAUAAAUUUGACCAUUUGAGAGCUCUAAUUCGCUCUAUCUUUGGGGCACUAAAGAGAUUAACUCUUUCUUAAAUCUUAAUUCUACAAAUAAUUUUAUUUUCUUCAUAUAAAUAUAAAAUACCACGAUAUUGCAAACACACAAAAGGAACUAACCACCGCAGAUGUCACAGACUCACAGCUCAACAACGAGGUAUUUCUCAUUCCUCCAUUCAAUUUCAUGUUUAUACCUUUUCUCUAAAUUAACAAAUUAAUCAUUUUUUACGUUUUUAUUUUUAUUUUUAUUUUUUAUUAUUACCCUCUUAGAACUAGGGUUCACAUGUGCAUAUUCAAGCUUAUUUUGAAACGAAAUUGAUCAGAUUUAUACUGUUUAUAUGAUUGCAAGUAAGUAAUCAUGUUUGGUGUUUCUGUCAAAAAAAAAAAAUCAUGUUUGGUGUUAUAUAAACAUUUUUUGGACCGGUCACAUCAAUUUUAAAUGGUAACGGCAACGAUAAGGUAAUCAUGUUUUAACGAAGUUGAAUGAAAAUGGUAACAAUGUAAAUAGUUUAUGACUUACUCGAAGGACUAAUUUGCAAAAAGAAAAGAAUUAAAAGACUAAUUUGUUACAAACAUCCAUCUUACUUAAAGGACCACAUGAGUUAUUCAAAGAAAACUGUUCUAGGUUUUCUUUCCCCAGUUUUAUAAUUGCUCAUUUUCUUGUUAUGUUAUAUUGAAUGUAAUUCCAUAUAUCUAUCUUGUUCCUUUUUUUAGCUUAAUGAUUCGAGAAAAGAUGAAGAGAAGAAGUCACUCCGAAAACGAAGAAAGUGAAGACAGACUAAGUGACUUACCCGACUGCCUUCUUGUUUACAUUUUGUCAUUUUUGAGAAUCGAAUACGCUGUUCGAACUUGCAUUUUGUCCACCAGAUGGAAACAUCUUUGGAAACGUAUUCCAGAACUUUUUUUGCAUUCCUCAACUUUAUUCCGUGGAAAAGAAAAGCAAUUUUUCACAUUCGUGUCUAAGAUUUUGACUCUUCGUGAUAACUCAGCUGCAUUGCACAUUCUUGAUUUUGAGUGCGAUAGCGAUUACGAGUCUGAACUGGUCCAAAAAAUUUUAAAUUACGCGUGUUCCCAUAAUACACAAAUCCAACAAUUAGGAAUCUCUAUUUCUCAUGAUAGUGAUCUCCUUAUGCCAUGUGUGUCCUCAUGUCAGGCUCUUACAUCUCUGACGCUUUCGAUUUACAAUGGUUGCAUUUUUCCUGAUACAUUUCCGAAAUAUCUGAAUAUGCCAGCGUUAACCAGCUUGGAUCUAACUGGUUUCACCUUCUGCGGUGAUGAAAACCGUUGUGCUGAGCCCUUUUCAGCCUUUACCAAGUUGAAUAGCUUGAUCAUUAGUCGUUGUAUGGUUAAGGAUGCACAAAUCCUCCGGAUAUCAAGUGAGACACUAGACAAUUUAUAUUUGUAUAAGAAUUUAUUCAACUUUGACAAAAUCGAGCUAGCUGCUCCGAGUCUCUGCACCUUUACUUUUUAUGGUACUCCUAAACAGAAAAUAUGUGGGAGUGGAUUUUCUUCCGUUAAAGAAGUAAACAUUGAUGCACAUAUGUUUUCAAAAGUAGACAAGUCUCCUAUGAUUCUAUUCAGCUGGCUGCUAGACCUUGCUAACAUAGAAUCAUUAACAGUCUCUUCAAGUACUCUUCAGAUUCUCUCCUUAGUUCCUGAUUUAUUGGAGGUUAAGCUUCCUUCUUUGUGUAACUUGAAGUCGGUGGAAAUAAAAUUGGAACGGCUUGGAAUUCUCCCAUCAUUACUCCACUUCAUGUAUGAAGCCAAUCAAGCCAUGUUAAAGAAAGCUGCUGCAAAGUCACGCAAAGAAGCUUCCAAGUUACGAAAAGCAUUUAAAGCGGGUUUAGAACCACCUUCCAUACCUGAUGGAAUAGUGGACUUCUUGCUUCAAAACUCACCGUCAGCCAAAGUCAACAUCACAUCAGAUUAUUAGUGCUCGAUGAAGAGUUUAUCUAACGGUCAUUUUUCUUUGCUACAUGAAAUGGGUGAAGCUGCUGGUUACGGACUUAUGGUUGAAAUGGCACGUGGAUCAACUCCGAUUAUUUGAUAGCUGUGAGGAAGACGACAUUAUAACUUUUGCCCCAGCCAUUGACAGAGAUAAGAAAUGUUUGUCUAAGUUUGUUUAGUUAGGUUCAAGUAUCCAUCAAGUAAUAAGUAACUAUUUGUUUGGUAAAUUGUAAUAUUUUUAGAGCUGAUACCAUUCAUUCAGUAAACUUAGGCACAUCUACUAAUAUUGGUGAUGCAGAAUAAUGAAGUUUUGUGAUUUUGUUAAAAGCAAAUGACUAUUUCUGAUGCAGACACUGUGUCAUGAAGUCUAA